rnacentral:tRNA from 1 species
GCCUGGGUGGCUCAGUGGUUUGAGCAUCUGCCUUUGGCUCAGGGCAUGAUCCUGGGGUCGAAUCCCAUAUCAGGCU